UACGUAGGGGGCAAGCGUUGUCCGGAUUCAUUGGGCGUAAAGAGCGUGUAGGCGGCCAGGUAGGUCGGUUGUGAAAACUGGAGGCUCAACCUUCAGACGUCGACCGAAACCAUCUGGCUAGAGUCCGGGAGAGGAGAGUGGAAUUCCUGGUGUAGCGGUGAAAUGCGCAGAUAUCAGGGAGAACACCCGUGGCGAAAGCGGCUCUCUGGAACGGUACUGACGCUGAGACGCGAAAGCGUGGGGAGCGAACAGG
rnacentral:rRNA from 1 species